GAAUGCUAAUACCGCAUACGCCCUACGGGGGAAAGCAGGGGAUCUUCGGACCUUGCGCUAAUAGAUGAGCCUAAGUCAGAUUAGCUAGUUGGUGGGGUAAAGGCCUACCAAGGCGACGAUCUGUAGCGGGUCUGAGAGGAUGAUCCGCCACACUGGGACUGAGACACGGCCCAGACUCCUACGGGAGGCAGCAGUGGGGAAUAUUGGACAAUGGGCGCAAGCCUGAUCCAGCCAUGCCGCGUGUGUGAAGAAGGCCUUUUGGUUGUAAAGCACUUUAAGCGAGGAGGAGGCUACUUGGAUUAAUACUCUAGGAUAGUGGACGUUACUCGCAGAAUAAGCACCGGCUAACUCUGUGCCAGCAGCCGCGGUAAUACAGAGGGUGCGAGCGUUAAUCGGAUUUACUGGGCGUAAAGCGUGCGUAGGCGGCUUUUUAAGUCGGAUGUGAAAUCCCUGAGCUUAACUUAGGAAUUGCAUUCGAUACUGGGAAGCUAGAGUAUGGGAGAGGAUGGUAGAAUUCCAGGUGUAGCGGUGAAAUGCGUAGAGAUCUGGAG
rnacentral:rRNA from 1 species